CGCGCAGCUUCUUCGUCGGCUCUCCUCCAGCAGUCGUCCCUGGGCCCAGUCGUUUGGAGAUCAUGUUGGUGACCCCGACCGUAGGCUGGUUAUUCGUUGCUUCUUCAGUCGGCUGGGGUCGUCGGUCGGUGAUGGAUUGAGUCGGUGGGUUUCUCCAGAAUUUGCCGAGAUACCCUCGGCAUAUGUGGGCCUCGAUCUUUUCCUUGAGUUGGAUGCACUGCUCGAUGUUGUGGCCAUGGCCCCGAUGGAAUCAACAGUACUUUCACCGAUCGAGGCCCUUUGCCUUCAAAGGUGGAGGUCAUCGCAGAUAUUCCUCCCCUUCGAUCUCUAUCAAAAUCUG
rnacentral:lncRNA from 1 species